UACGGGAGGCAGCAGUGGGGAAUUUUGGACAAUGGGCGCAAGCCUGAUCCAGCCAUGCCGCGUGUCUGAAGAAGGCCUUCGGGUUGUAAAGGACUUUUGUCCGGGAGCAAAUCCCAGUGGUUAAUACCUACUGGGGCUGAGAGUACCGGAAGAAUAAGCACCGGCUAACUACGUGCCAGCAGCCGCGGUAAUACGUAGGGUGCAAGCGUUAAUCGGAAUUACUGGGCGUAAAGCGUGCGCAGGCGGUUGUGCAAGUCUGAUGUGAAAGCCCCGGGCUUAACCUGGGAACGGCAUUGGAGACUGCACGACUAGAGUGCGUCAGAGGGGGGUAGAAUUCCGCGUGUAGCAGUGAAAUGCGUAGAGAUGCGGAGGAAUACCGAUGGCGAAGGCAGCCCCCUGGGAUGACACUGACGCUCAUGCACGAAAGCGUGGGGAGCAAACAGGAUUAGAUACCCUGGUAGUCCACGCCCUAAACGAUGUCAACUAGCUGUUGGGGGAUUGAAUCCUUGGUAGCGUAGCUAACGCGAGAAGUUGACCGCCUGGGGAGUACGGCC
rnacentral:rRNA from 1 species